rnacentral:rRNA from 1 species
AUUGAACGCUGGCGGCAGGCCUAACACAUGCAAGUCGAACGAGUGGCGGACGGGUGAGUAAUGUCUGGGAAACUGCCUGAUGGAGGGGGAUAACUACUGGAAACGGUAGCUAAUACCGCAUACCAUCGGAUGUGCCCAGAUGGGAUUAGCUAGUAGGUGGGGUAAAGGCUCACCUGGGCGACGAUCCCUAGCUGGUCUGAGAGGAGGACCAGCCAAACUGGAACUGAGACACGGUCCAGACUCCUACGGGAGGCAGCAGUGGGGAAUAUUGCAAAAGGGGCGAAAGCCGGAUGCAGCAAGGCCGCGUGUAGGAAGAAGGCCUUCGGGUGGUAAAGUACUUUCAGCGGGGAGGCGUUACCCGCAGAAGAAGCACCGGCUAACUCCGUGCCAGCAGCCGCGGUAAUUC